rnacentral:rRNA from 1 species
AUUGAACGCUGGCGGCAUGCCUUACACAUGCAAGUCGAACGGUAACAGGUCUUCGGAUGCUGACGAGUGGCGAACGGGUGAGUAAUACAUCGGAACGUGCCCAGACGUGGGGGAUAACGAGGCGAAAGCUUUGCUAAUACCGCAUACGAUCUAAGGAUGAAAGCAGGGGACCGCAAGGCCUUGUGCGUUUGGAGCGGCCGAUGGCAGCUUAGGUAGUUGGUGGGAUAAAAGCUUACCAAGCCGACGAUCUGUAGCUGGUCUGAGAGGACGACCAGCCACACGGGGACGGAGACACGGCCCAGACGCCUACGGGAGGCAGCAGUGGGGAAUUUUGGACAAUGGGCGAAAGCCUGAUCCAGCAAUGCCGCGUGCAGGAUGAAGGCCUUCGGGGUGUAAACUGCUUUUGUACGUAACGAAAAGGCUCUGGCUAAUACCUGGGGCACAUGACGGUACCGGAAGAAUAAGCACCGGCUAACUACGUG